ensembl:lncRNA
AAAAAAACAAACAGCUGGGGUUAGUGUCCUACUUUGUGACAUCUUCACUGCUGAUGGCUCAGCUUGUCAGUAUCACAGAGUUGGUGCAUGUGACUAGCCAGCCACCCAAUCUAUCAAACCGUUGACUCUUACAUCACCCUUAGACAAGCUGAUCAACUGCUAUCUUUCACAGACUAGCAAAGGGCUGUGUUACUGUCAGCGUGUGAGGAGUGUGAGGAGUUUUCAAGGGCUGAUCCGUGUGAUUUUUUUUUCUGUUUUUUUUUCUUUUUCCUUUUUUUUUUUGCAUGGCUGCUGCUAGUAAAGUGCACAUUUACACGAGGAUGGAUCACGCAGGGAUUAAGAUUAGUUUGAACUCACCUAUUAGGCAGCAGAAAUAGGGAUUUUAACCAACUGUGAGCAAAUAGUGACAAAAAUCUUACAAUAAGUACACCAAAUCUAAAUGAAGACAUUCUUUUGUCCUGCUUAUGGUGAACUUUGUUUCCAGAUUGGCUUUUUCCUCACUUACAGCCUCACAUUAUUUACCACCCAUCGAUUUGCUCUUCGCUCACAUGUCAGAGCGAAACGAUAAAGUCCAAAAGUGUUCAUGAUCUGAGUCCUGUGGAUCUAUGCAGAUGAACCCCACCCCAAAUCAACAUACCACUUUCCAGCACCGCCCCCACGCCAACCCAUCCACCGGCUCCUUGUCCUUUAUGUUGUAAAUAUGUCCUGAGGAUGUGGAAUCCCAAAUAUCUUCCCUAACCUCUCCCUUCUUCCCCCACUGUUGGAAUCUCACUGUGUUUUCUGUUCGGCUCCUUGGUUUUUGUCUGUUUUUUGAGACCUUUGCUGCAUUUUUCUGUUGUCUAAAGCUGUGGUGUGAGUUGAGGAGAUGAAAGAGGUAUUAAAGGAAAAUAUACAAAAAAUGAAGCUUGGAUUGAGAAAAGGGUUCAAAUAUAGAGGAAAAAAAUCUGAUAAAGUUGUCAUAUUGUCAUACUAGAGAUGCUUUAGUUUGCUAAUUUACUUUCUUUUUUUUCUACAAAAGACUUGGAUGAAAUUAUUUAUAAAAUGCGUCCCACGAGUCAUGACCUUUUUUGGAC